CCUCGGAAACCAUGUCCUCUAGUUUCCGCCACAUUAGAAGAUUCUCCUAUCUCUUUAACUUUUGUAUGUGCCUGCAAUGCCUUCUCUGCCGGAUCUUUCUCCAAUAACUCUUCUAAUUUCCCAUUAAUUCUAUUCUCGUGAAGAAUUAAUGAGCCCAGAAGCUCCUCGGUACUUAAAGUUGAAAGGUCCUUGGUCUCUUGAAUUACUGCCACAAUAUGAUCAAACUUCAUAGGUAAAGNNN
rnacentral:lncRNA from 1 species